rnacentral:rRNA from 1 species
UACGGGGGGAGCAAGCGUUGUUCGGAUUUACUGGGCGUAAAGGGCACGUAGGCGGCCUCCGCAAGUCAAUUGUGAAAUCUCCGGGCUUAACUCGGAAAGGUCAACUGAUACUGCGGGGCUAGAGUGCGGAAGGGGCAACUGGAAUUCUUGGUGUAGCGGUGAAAUGCGUAGAUAUCAAGAGGAACACCUGCGGCGAAGGCGGGUUGCUGGGCCGACACUGACGCUGAGGCGCGAAAGCUAGGGGAGCGAACGGG